UACGUAGAAGACUAGUGUUAUUCAUCUUUAAUAGGUUUAAAGGGUACCUAGACGGUGUGAUUAGUCUUCAAUUAGAAACGAUUAUACUAGAGUUAUAUAUGAGGAGGGGAGUAUUUAUGGAGUAGAGUUGAAAUUCUUUGAUCCCAUAACGACUGGUAACGGCGAAAGCAACCUUUUAUCUAAUAACUGACGUUUGAGGGACGAAGGCUUGGGUCACGAACAGG
rnacentral:rRNA from 1 species